rnacentral:rRNA from 1 species
GCUCAGAUUGAACGCUGGCGGCAGGCCUAACACAUGCAAGUCGAACGGUAACAGGAAGAAGCUUGCUUCUUUGCUGACGAGUGGCGGACGGGUGAGUAAUGUCUGGGAAACUGCCUGAUGGAGGGGGAUAACUACUGGAAACGGUAGCUAAUACCGCAUAAUGUCGCAAGACCAAAGAGGGGGACCUUCGGGCCUCUUGCCAUCGGAUGUGCCCAGAUGGGAUUAGCUAGUAGGUGGGGUAACGGCUCACCUAGGCGACGAUCCCUAGCUGGUCUGAGAGGAUGACCAGCCACACUGGAACUGAGACACGGUCCAGACUCCUACGGGAGGCAGCAGUA